CGGGCUUUCUUUUCUCGUUAGUCGCGCGUUGCCACUGGUAGGGGAUCACACACCCACCCUCUAUCUCUGCGGACUCUCGCUCUCUCCGUCACUCGGUCAGGCAGGCACACCCAUACACACGCACACGCAUACAAGCGCUCGCAUUUUUUUUUCCCUUGAGUACUGCCCCAUUGAAGAUAGAAAACAAAAAGGGCACGCGCUCUCUCUGCUUCGAGGUCACCUGCACCCUUCCACCCUCCUCCACCUCUCGUGCGGCUUAUACAUAUAUUUCUGUUUUCGUUGUCGCCGUCACCGUCAUUAGCUCACGCUGUGGUCCGUUGUUGUGCUAUCCGCGUCGCGGCCCAUAGCACACCGCCAUCGGAUUUUGCUUGUUCCCCCCCCCCCCCCCCCGUGCCCUUGAAUAGGCCAACGUGUGUCCAUAGGCCUGCGUGCAUAGGUGCAUGUGUGUGUGUGCCGCCCCUUCCCCUUCCCUUUCACGUUCGCACCCAUGAACUUCGCCGAGGCGUUUCGCGACGCCGUGGACGGGAUUUCCUACACGGGCGACGAGCUCAUCAACGCGCUCCGGGCAGCGCGAGCGCUGCUGGCGUCGCUUCCAGACGACAUCCACCUCGAGCAGAAAAAGCGAUUCGAUCGCCAGAACCGCCGGCUCUCGGGUGAGGUGAUCGAUAUUCCCGUCUCAGAGGGCGAGCUGUCCGAGGAGGACAAGGACGACGACGAUGAGGAGCGUGCCGAGAGGAGUCGUCGCACAGGAGCCGGCAAGGGAACCGCAGCGGACGCUGGCGCCAUUUCUGCCGCGGAUGAGGUUGCCGCGCCGCCAUCGCAGUUUUCCACUCCCGUCGCCCCGCCGCCAGCCGCCGCCGCCUCUGAGGGGGCCACUGAUGACGGAGCGGUUCAAUCAGUCGCGGUCACGCCACCAGCGGGUCAAGCUUCCAAUCUCGCCGCCAGCCGCGGAGGCCUCCGUGACGGCAGCGGCUUUCUGUCGCCUGCGUCGUUACAAAGUCGCAAUCCGCUGCUGCGGUCGGAGGCUACUUCUUGUGAUGCGUCAGGGGAGCCUGCCAAAACGCAUGGGCGGCGGCGGUACCGGGGCACGAGCUCGAAACAGCGACACAGAGCGUCCCCCAAGCCAUGGGACGACUGCGACGCUCGCCACACCUCGUCAGCGUCGAGCACAACGGCAUCGUCGCUGGCGUGCGAUGUGGAUGAUGAGAAGAGGGAGCGUGUGCGGCAGCUCGAGCUGUACGACCAGGCCCCGAGCGAGUGGCUGCACCAGUUCAUCUGCAUAGGAGCGAAGCUGUUCGGGGAGCAGAUGGAGGACUACUUUCGUGCCGUGCACACCUUGAUCUACUACAUGGCGGUACGGCGAAAGCGGGUGGAGCAGCGUUGCCAGUACUUGCGCAACCGUGCUGCGCAAGAGGGCACAGGGGGCGUCGAUGCGCCGCCCUCUGACGCUGCCGCGCGGGCCUUCGCAUAUACUUCCCACGGCAGCUGCGAGACGGCGGUAACAGCGGCACACGAGGACGGCGCCACCGCCUGUGCCAGCGAAGGAGAGGCGAAAAAUAUGGAAAACAGCGACGAUAAUGACGAUGAGGAUGAUGAGUUAGAGGGCUUUUACAUUUCGAGAGAGGUGAAGCGGAGCAUACGUGUGGGGCUGCCGGACAACGCCUUUCGCUUGCGUGACAGCGUCCAUAAGUUCUUCUUCUCGUGCUACGCGUCCGUCAUCAUCCAAGGCUCCGUGUCGGUGGCGCAGAUCAAGCAGGCGGGAGCCGAGGUUGUGCGCAUCUGCAGCUGUGUGCUGACAUGGCCACGCUACCCGCUGAACUUGCGGGCGCAGUGGGCGGACGACCGGGAGGAGCAGCUCCGGCAGUUUCUCAACAAGUGGCUGGGGGAAGCGAAUGGGCAUCUGGUGACACUCAUGAUGGUGCCUCCGGAGGCGCCGGCAACUGUGAGGCGUCGCGCAGGCGCACAGGGCGAAGUGGACGUUGACAACUCCACCACGGCACCGUCGUCGCCAUCGUCGGUGGAUGCGGAAAGCAUCAUGGCUGACGAUGGCAACUCCCGACAUGAAGGCAACGACGACAGCGAAGAUGAGGGCAGUGAGGCCGCCGUCGGCCCUAACAGCGCCAACGUGCCGCAGCAGAAGGUGUUUCUGGGGCCACAAACUCGCGGCGAGGACGCCGUCAAGAUGGCGUACGAGUUCGCGCGGAGCCCGGCGCCGUGCAGCACACCUCUUGCACGCUUGGUGGCGGACACAGUGCCAGAGAAGAACGUGGGCACGCUGCUUCCGUGCAUCGAGCAGCCGGAGCGCCGUACUUUCAACGACGGGUUCUGCCGCCUGGCACCCUCUCUGUCGCAGAAGGAGCUCGAGCUGAUCACGGAGCUGAUGCAGCUGCCGCUGACGGAGAUGCCGGUCGUGAAUGAAGAUGACAAGGGCAAUCAUGAUCAGCGUGCGUUGCAUGCGGCAGAGAAGGCGAUCGUGAAGCACUGGGCAUCGCCGACCUACGACCCGUGCGGGGGUGAGCUGACGGUUCUCAUCAACCCUACAAACGCGUUUCGCCUGCAACUCAGCAACCCGAUCAUCUUCUCCCUCGGCGGCGUGCAAUGUGACAUGUGUUGCGUGACAGAGCGUCGCGUCAGCUUUCAAGCCGUGCUCGACAGCGGCGUGCGCAGCGAGGUGGUGCUGGAGUACGAGGGCUGCAUCGGAUACGAUGUAUGCGUUGCAUGCAGCUACUAUUACUACAAGAGCAGCGAGAUGCGGCUGCUGCGCGCAGUGCACCCCAUCCCUCAUCUGCGCGCUCCGUUUGCCUUUGGUCGCUUCUCCAAGGUGAGGGUGCACUCCGUGCUCGCGUCCGCCUGCGAGGAGAGCGAGGGUGAUAUGACAGUGGAGGUGGUCAUGGGCAUUUCACCGUACGGCGUGAUGCCCGUCGGCUGGGUCCUUCCUGUGGAUCGGCUGGCCGAGCUGAGCGCUGCGUGCCCGAUGCUCGCCGAGGAGACGGAGCUGACCGCCGACGUGCACGCGAGUCUGCCUGUGCCUCCACAGGACUGGAAACAGCGCUGCUCCAUCGCCAAUAUCAGCAGCCUCUUGACGGAGACUGACGGGCGUUGCGACACUGCCGCCGCCGGGGAUGCUGCCACGAUGGCAAGUCGGCACGCGCUUGCGACUGGCAUGGCAAACGACCACCUGAUCGAUGAAGCGGAUGUGUGCCCGAUUUGUCUCCAGCUGCUGCACAGCCCGCUGCCGGUGUUGCGCACCCUGUGCGGCCAUUGUUUCCAUGUCGAGUGCAUCGGCUCGCAUUACCACUACAAGCCCGCUGUCGUAGACGGUGAGGUGAACGAGAACAACGGCUGCCCCGUGUGCCGGUGCAGCGACUACAUGCCACCCCUCACAGACGCAGAUGCGAUGGUAAGGACGAACGUGUACAAGCUCAUGCUGCGGGUGCCGGCUGACGAGGUCGCCAAGGGGCGCGGCGCGCGGGCGCGGGAGUGGGGCGGCGGGUGUGCCAUUGCAGUGGGGACCAUUUUGACAGACGACGGCGCGUACCACAAUGCCACAAAUAUUGCGUCCUGUGAGGCUUUUUACGGCGUGAUGCCGGGCUUUGCCUUUACCCGACACGCCACGGCCGGGGCAAGGGAGAUGGAGGCGGCCUCCCCUGCCGUGUCUUGAAGGGGCGGCGAUGGAGUGGUGGUGGUGGUGGUGGCAGCAGCAGCUGCAUGUGUGCUUCACAGCCACCAUAACAUGUUAAUAUAUAUAUAUAUAUAUAUUUAUGGACAACAAAACAACCCAAGCGGCGGAAAGUAAGACCCGCGAGAUGGAGAGAAUAGCACGCAGAUGCGCGAUGAGCGCAUGUGUGCUUUUCUGUGCACGCUUGCCCUUGUACGUAUUUCCAGCCGGCCUCUCUCUCUGUUUCACACACACGCCCACAAACACACACACCACACACACACACACACAAACACACACAG
rnacentral:misc_RNA from 1 species